rnacentral:lncRNA from 1 species
GAUUGCUACAGAAUUAUGAUUCCAGGAACGCUUUUGAGGAGGCAAAGGAGGCAGGUGCCCUUUACAGUGACGCUGGAAUGCAGAGAAUUUCUUUGACUUGAGCCCCACAGAAGUUUGUCAGUCACCUAUGUCCGUGAACCUAACUCCACUGAACGUAAAUGAGCUAGGGAUUGUUUGUUCAACAUGACAAAAUGAACAACCACAGCGAAGGACAAGGGUUGACAAAUGGGAUUCUGAGGAAGCCGGGCUGGGCAGAAUUCUUGCCACAAGCAACCACAGGAUUCAACGCCUGAGGUCGCACUCGCCAUGGCUUCUCCCCCGGGAUGGACUGCAUCCUUAAACUGUGAGCCAAAUUAUACCUCACUGGAGCUGAUUCAUGUUGCAAGGCUCCAAGAACAUCAAAGGAAAGGGACCAGAGAGAUCACAAGAGCCAAAGGAUGGGGGUGUGGUCUUCUUGAAAUGGAAAGCUGUGUAAACAUGAACACACGACAUCUGUGAUUAUCUACCCAAGACCUGCACACCCAAAAGAGACACGAAAAUAGGAGCAGGAAUUGUUGAGAAAAGAGAUGGGGUCAGCAAGGGCGAGAAGAGUGUACAAGACAGUAAUGGGGUGACCAUUGCCACAGUAUAUUGCAUACAUGAUGAAAAUGCUAAAAAAUUAAAAUUGAAGUAAAGAAAUAAAUUCAUCAAC